AUACGAAGGGGGCUAGCGUUGUUCGGAAUUACUGGGCGUAAAGCGCGCGUAGGCGGAUUGGUCAGUUAGGGGUGAAAUCCCAGGGCUUAACCCUGGAACUGCCUCUAAUACUGCCAGUCUUGAGUUCGGGAGAGGUGAGUGGAAUUCCUAGUGUAGAGGUGAAAUUCGUAGAUAUUAGGAAGAACACCAGUGGCGAAGGCGGCUCACUGGCCCGAUACUGACGCUGAGGCGCGAAAGCGUGGGGAGCAAACAGGAUUAGAUAGCCGAGUAGUCC
rnacentral:rRNA from 1 species